UAAUAGGUUAAUUUCUUUCUCCAGAGUCUA
rnacentral:piRNA from 1 species